GACGAACGCUGGCGGCGUGCUUAACACAUGCAAGUCGAACGGACAGGCCCUGCUCUUGCUGCGUUCUUGUGUGGGGAACGGGGGAGUAACACGCGAGUAUCCUCCACUUGACUUUGGGAGAACUUCAGGAAACAGGGGCUAAUAUCGGGGAUAAGCUCCUGCUGCACGGUGUUGGUUGGAGAGUUCCGGCGGUGGUGGAUGGACUCGCUGCUUAUGAGCUGGUUGGUGUGGUAGUUGUUUACAAAGCCUUUGACGGGUAGCCGGCCUGAGAGGGUGGACGGCCACAAGGGGACUGAGAUACGGACCAGACUCCUACGGGAGGCAGCAGUGGGGAAUAUUGCACAAUGGGCCGGAGCCUGAGGCAGCAGCGCCGCGAGCGGGAUGACCGCCUUUGGGUUGUAAACCGCUUUCGCCUGAGAUGUAGAGUGAGUGACGGUAAUUGGUAAAGAAGCAACGGCUAACUACGUG
rnacentral:rRNA from 1 species